AACGAACGCUGGCGGCAUGCCUAACACAUGCAAGUCGAACGAGACCUUCGUGUCUAGUGGCGCACGGGUGCGUACCGCGUGGGAACCUGCACUUAGGUUCGGAAUAACUCCCCGAAAGGGGUGCUAAUACCGGAUAAUGUCUUCGGACCAAAGAUUUAUCGCUUUUGGAUGGGCCCGCGUUGGAUUCGCUGGUUGGUAGGGUAAAAGCCUACCAAGGCGACGAUCCAUAGCUGGUCUGAGAGGAUGAUCAGCCACACUGGGACUGAGACACGGCCCAGAACCCUACGGGAGGCAGCAGUGGGGAACAUUGGACAAUGGGCGAAAGCCUGAUCCAGCAAUGCCGGGGGAGUGAUGAAGGCCUUAGGGUUGUAAAGCUCUUUUACCCGGGAUGAUAAUGACAGUACCGGGAGAAUAAGCGCCGGCUAACUCCGUG
rnacentral:rRNA from 1 species